rnacentral:rRNA from 1 species
GUAAACGAUGAGUACUAAGUGUUGGAUGUCAAAGUUCAGUGCUGCAGUUAACGCAAUAAGUACUCCGCCUGAGUAGUACGUUCGCAAGAAUGAAACUCAAAGGAAUUGACGGGGGCCCGCACAAGCGGUGGAGCAUGUGGUUUAAUUCGAAUCAACGCGAACAACCUUACCAGGUCUUGACAUACUCAUAAAGGCUCCAGAGAUGGAGAGAUAGCUAUAUGAGAUACACGUGGUGCAUGGUUGUCGUCAGCUCGUGUCGUGAGAUGUUGGGUUCAGUCCCGCAACGAUCGCGUCCCUUAUCGUUAGUAACCAUCAUUCAGUCGGGGACUCUAGCGAGACUGCCAGUGACACAGCUGGAGGAAGGCGGGGAUGACCUCGAAUCAUGUUGCGCCUUAUGACCUGGGCUACACACGUGCUACAAUGGAUGGUGCACAUGGAACCGAAGCCGCGAGGUGAAGCUAAACCCAUAAAACCAUUCUCAGUUCGGAU